AGACAGAGGUGAAACUUUCAGCAUAUCCAAAAUUCUGUUUGGCUUUAGAGUGAGAGAGUGGACAGAGAGGAGCGAAGAUGAUAAAAGCUGUGAUGGCGGUCAGCACUCAAGGCAAACCUCGCCUUGCAAAAUGUUACAAAUAUCUGUGGAGAAGCAGCAGGAGCUUAUACGAAGCGUUUUUGCAGUCUUGUGCAGUAGAGCGGAGAACCUAAGCAAUUUCAUAGACGCUUAAUCCAUUUUUGGUCCGGUAAUUUCUUUUAUGUUCUAUUUUUUCUUCAUUUCUAAUUUAAUUUUCAUUCCCUUGUUAGUGUGAGGUUAGAAAUCAAUUAAUAUUCAUUUGGCUGUCCUCUUGAUUGAAACUUCUUCUUCCACUCGCAUGUAACAACUGCCAUAGCUUUAUUUUAGCUCUACUUUAAACUCUGUUUAAUUGUUUUUGAAUUCUCACUUUCAGGAUAGUCGCCUUGUAUGCAACCAUUUUGCUAUUCUUUACUUUGUUCUUUUAUUUGAUAGUUCCGAAAUUGAACUAGCAGAGCUUGACUUGAUACAAGGUAUGGUUCUGCUUUUUUUUGUAGAGUUAUAAUGGAGUAAUUAAGUUAUGAAAUGUUGUUUUUCUGUACCAUGAUCAUUUAAAAAUCAAGAUUUUAAUUAAUCAAUACUUGGAGAUGUCUGAAUACUUAUCUAACAUUAUAGAUAAGAAAACUUUUCAUAAAGCUGAAGCAAGCCACUUUGAUGGUUUUUGUGUUGAUUUGAAGUUGCAUUCAGUUCAGAUACACCUUUUUGUGGAAUAUAUUCUCUUGUAUGAGCAUUUACUGAAUAUGAAAAAAUUGAUAUUCAUGUGCACUGGAACUAGUGAUGAUUGUUGUGUCACCCAACUUAGUUGAGUUUACCUCAGGUGUCUUUUAAAUGGCAGGGUUUGGUUGCAUCAAUACAAUUCUAGAUGUUAUCUUGAAUAUAACCAUCCUUUUUUGUGUGGACAUGUUAACAAUUUUUCUUGUGAUUCUAAGAUUCAAUAAAAUUCUUAGCUCUAAAAAUUGCAUGUUCUCUGAUGAGAACAAUGUCCCAGGUUUUUCAUGCAUUUCCUUUAUAAACUAGAAAGCUGGAUAUGACAAUAAUUUCUGAUAGUUAUUUCAAAUAUCGGACGAUUUUACUUGAUGUGAUCUGUUCAGUUUUGGUGGAAAUGUUGGAUAGACGUUUCAAGAAUGUUUGCGAGCUUGACAUUGUGUUCAAUUACACAAAGGUUGUAUUCAUCAUUGAUAUAUGCAUCCAUUAAGUGCUAGGGACUGUAACAUUCUACAUAUGGAUAAGAUUUUGCUAGUUUGGAAUAAUAGACAUGAAGUGCAUUUUUAUUUAUGCUUUUUAAUUCUUUUGAAUGCAAGAAGAUUGCAGCUAGGCUAAUCUUAAAUUAUAUUAUGUGUUUGGAAAACAUAUAUGGGGUAUUCUUCAGGUUCAGAUUUCAAACAUUACUUGAUGGCUGGGAAAGCUUCUUAUGCCCUGCUAGCCACGGUCUGUCUUUGGAAUAUGCCUUCUUAUGACAUCAUUAUAACAUCUUAAGUGCACACAGAACUGAUUCAAAGUCAGUUUAAUGCUUGGAAAGCUACUUAUGCCCUGCUGGCCAAAGUCUGUCUUUGGAAUAUGCCUUCUUAUGACAUUGUUAUAACAUCUUAAGUGUACACUGAAAAUUGAUUCAAAGUCAGUUUAAUGCUUUUUUAGUACUGUAUUCUGCUGGGUUCAUUGAUGGAAUUUUAAAUGUAAACACACACUGUGUCUGAUUAACGUAGGAAAUAAUCUUGUCUCCUGUAAUUCGUCCAACUAUAGCUGCAGGAAUUACAAAAGGGAUGGCAACACCCUUAUCUGCCUCAUCGAUAAGGAUCAUCCCAACUCCACCAGCUUCUUUCACUACCUCGCUCUUAGCCAACUUUGACUCUGAUGAACCCUCAGCAUGUCGACAGACCAAAACUUUCCCUCUGACUCUGGUAAUAUUCAAGGAACUCUCUAGAAAAUAGCUAUGAAACCAAGAAGGAACAAUUACUAUAGGUUCCCCGCUUAACAUCCUAAGUGUAUUACUUUUAGAAGUUGUGCUUCACCUGGAUUGAUAAGGGGUAAAGUAUUAUGCAUAGGCUUCAGAGGCAGAGAUGAUCCUUGCAGAGGCAUUCAUUUCAGUGAGACUGAGGCUUUCCCCCUAUUCAAUGACAGAAAACUGAUGAAGCUCAGAAGAGGAGCGGGGGAGCAAUUCAGUAUGUCCAAAAGUAAGAAGCAACAGUGAUCAUCCAUUUCAACAGUUGGACUGCACAUUUCAAUUACUGUUGAAAAGGUAAUUGAAAGUUGAAACGUUGGAAUGAUAGACUCACAGACAAACAGAGCCUUUUAAGGAUGAAUUCAUGAAUGAAAUUAAG